UACAGAGGUCUCAACCGUUGUUCGGAUUCAUUGGGCGUAAAGGGCGCGUAGGCGGUCGCGCAAGUCGGAUGUGAAAUCUCAGGGCUCAACCCUGGAACUGCAUUCGAUACUGCGUGGCUAGAGUGCUGGAGAGGAGACUGGAAUUUACGGUGUAGCAGUGAAAUGCGUAGAUAUCGUAAGGAAGACCAGUGGCGAAGGCGAGUCUCUGGACAGCAACUGACGCUGAGGCACGAAGGCCAGGGGAGCAAACGGG
rnacentral:rRNA from 1 species